rfam:Brochothrix campestris FSL F6-1037 rep_c108, whole genome shotgun sequence.
GAGAUUUCCAUCACUUUAUGUGAGUAAGACCCCUGAGAGACGAUCAGGUUGAUAGGUUCGGAGUGGAAGUGCAGCGAUGUACGGAGCGGACGAAUACUAAUAGGUCGAGGACUUAACCUU